UGGAUUAUCUACCUCUUUGUGGGGAAUAACUCUGGGAAACCGGAGCUAAUACCGCAUAAGUCCGAGAGGAGAAAGCAGCAAUGCGCAGAGAGAGGAGUCCGCGGCCGAUUAGUUAGUUGGCAGGGUAAAAGCCUACCAAGACAAAGAUCGGUAGCCGGCCUGAGAGGGCACACGGCCACACUGGCACUGAAACACGGGCCAGGCUCCUACGGGAGGCAG
rnacentral:rRNA from 1 species